GUAAAGGCAAUUUAUGACAUGAUGGGCAAGUAUACUUACCCAGUGCUGAAGGAAGAUGCUCCAAGACAACAUGUAGAAGUAUUUUUCCAGAAAAUGGACAAAAACAAAGAUGGCAUUGUAACUUUGGAUGAGUUUAUUGAGUCAUGCCAGGAGGAUGAGAAUAUCAUGAGAUCCUUACAGCUUUUUGAAAAUGUCAUGUAACAGCAGCUGAAGAGCAGUCUAGAAAUCUGAGACUUUAUAUGUACUGAGAUCCUGAAGAAAACAAGUCAAGAUUUUUCUCCCCACCAUCUUUUUUGAUGAAAGCUUUUUACUACUUGGACAGACUCAGUGUAUAAGGAUUUUGUAUGAUACUGCAAACUGAGCUGUGUCUCUGAAUGCAACAAACUCUUGCCUCCCUCAAGAGACACUGACUAGAAUUUAUUUCAUUUAGAAGCAUGCUAAUAAAAUCUGACCAGAGAGACCUGCUGCUUAAAGUUUAAUAAAUUAUUGAAGUUUAAAUUAUUGAAAUAAUAUUCAAUAUUCUAUUAGCUAAUCACAAAAAAAAUUCUGCUGCUUUGACUCUAGCAAGCUGGAUUGCAUAUGGUAACACAGCAUCAGUAGCUUCUUUAAUCAUCCGUUGUGUUUUUGUAUCAUCACAUUGUGUUAAUGUUUUCCUUUGAUGGUACUGAAAAAGUUCGUGCUACUUUUACAAACUGACACAAAUAUAAGAUGGUAAAUGGGGGGUUUAAUUCAUUUAUAACCUGUCUGGACAAUUAUUUAUUUAUAUUUAUUGCACAAAUAUUUGCUGGGCAAUAAAUGUAGAGCAGUGACUAAUUUAUUGUACCAGAUUCAGGCAUUUGUUUACCCAAGAAAAGGCUUUCCAUUCAGCAAAACUGUAUUUUCUUAGCAUUUAGACUGUUGCUGGAAAUAUACAUUUCUUUUCACCACUAACAAAAUAGUUGCAAUCUGGAAUCUACCUGCAAAAGGGUAUUUCCAUGUAUACUAAAAUUGUCACUUUUCAAGGCAAAGAUUUGACAAGCUGGUCCAUUUCAAAACUGCCACAAUAGCUUCUCCCUCUCACCCAGAGCAAAUGUUCAAGCAUGUUCAAGUGAAAUUAAUAACUUGGGGCUGGGCCUAUGCAAGAGAAGGGUUACCAAAGGUGAAACUGAAAAGCAUGUGUAGGUGUGUUUUUGCUAUCUGAUUACUAAGUGCCAGCUGUUGUGGGAGUUUCGUCUGCGGGCUGAGUACAUCUGAUGCAAUGGA